GUGGCGGCGGAGCGGGGGCGCGCACGCGCGCAGGGCGGGGCCGCCAUUGGUCGCCGGCGUGAGGGGAGGGGGAGGAGUCGGCGCGCGCGUCGUCUCCUUUCGGCGGGCGCCGCCCCCCCCCCCCAUUCUCCCCUCAGCCCUCGGGGGGGUCCUGAGGCGGGAAGCGGGAGUCUGAUGGUUCGGGUCCUGCCUAAGGUUCUGUCUCGGCCCAAGCGGCCCCAGAGGAAGGGCCCUGUGAGGAGGUGGGAAGGGUUUUGCUGGCGCUUCUCUCUCUGUCUCUCUCUCACAAUUUUUGGCGCUUGCGAAAGUGGCGGAGCUUCCCGGGGAGACCGGGGAGGAAAAAGCUUCGGGGCACGGGAGGAACGGCCUCAGCACGCUGUGGGAGGAUGAGCUCCCUCUAAACCUUACGGGGAACGGGACCCUCAGACUGCUCAAACCUCACAGGGGGACCAGCCCCUUGAACCUCACAAGGAACUGGGCCCUCAGCCCUUCAAACUUCUCAGGGGGAUCAGCUCUUCAUCCCCCUCAGACCUCGCGGGGAGAUCAGCCCUUCAUCCUCCUCAAACCCCACAGGGAACAGCCCUUCAUCCUCCUCAAACCCCACAGGGAACAGCCCUUCAGCCCGUCAGACCUCACAGGGAACUGGACCCUCAGCCCUUCAGCCCGUCAGACCUCACAGGGGAUGAUGGUUCUCCUCAAAAAGUCCUCUAAGGAGCAGGGCUGCAACCACAGGGUGACAGUAGGAGUUUCCCAUUCCAUUAAAAUGCCCUUUCACUGUCUGAAACAGAAACUCGUGCUGAAUGGUAAAAGGAUCAAAACCACCUCUGCCCUUUGCUGUUCUCCAGCGUGUUUGCUUUUAGCAUUCAGCCCAGCACUGGCACAGAAUGGGAGGAUUUCCCAAAUGGCUUUGUUACAACAUUAAGCCUGGUAACCUACCCUGGGUCACUCCUGAGCAGAAAAUAAGGAGCUUGAAAGAAAAACAUUGAUUUCCAAGGGCGGCCUGUUCCAAGGAUUGUUCCUGCACUGAAACAAAGCCUGUGAAAACACCAGUUGCCAGUCAUUCCCCAAGUUACUGUUUCCACAGGGAAUGAUCUUGCCACAUCAGAGCUGCAGAAAGGUCACGCCGAAGUUACUUUCUCGCUGAUACUUUGCUGCUGUUCCUCCAACCCAGAAGCACCGAGGGCCCACAGCUCACGACAGUCACGAGGUGAGCGUCACGCGUCAGACAUUCCCACAAACACCGCGGCCUUCCCCAUUUUCUGUCAACCUGUUUGAUUGUGCCAUACCCAGGGAACGUGUGACAGAAUUAAUCAUCCUGCUGGGCUGCACACCGAGGGAAGGGAGCAGAUGAGCUGUGGCAAGGCUGUUGUUAGCACUGAGAAACUGCGACAAAAGAGAGGCAGACUGCGAGCCAGACGUGUGUCAGUCACCGAGUGAGACACGCUGUGAUUUAUAACGUAACAACAGUUGACGGGAACGUGGAUCUCCCAUUUCAAAGUGUUGUCUCUGUGUAGAUUAAGAGUAGUAUCUGUCAUCAGGAAACAAAGGGAAAAGAAAUAUGUUUGAUAAAAGCAAUCCCGUGCUCUCCCGGAGGCAGAAACCGCUGUGUGGUUGGAAUGGAAGUAAAGGAUUUCUCUGCGAGUUCCAUCCCGGGCAGCAAAAAGAAAAUGUGUUGUGACAAGAGGAAGUGCAAAUAAUUAAUACCAGAGGAUCAAAUGAAAGGAGUGGCUUUGCAAGGAGUGACUAAUGCUGAGUGUGUUCCAGCAAAGCCCGGGUUGCACUGUGGGCAGAGGAGCUCUCGUGGCCCGGGCGCACAGCGGGCAGGGCCCCGGCCCCGCGGCUCCACGGGGCAGCUCCCCUUUCAAAGGCAGGGCUGCUCUUCCUCUGAGCUCCCCAGGUGCUGCACACGGGGUCCCCAGCACUGCAGCACUCUGGCUGUUGUGUACACAGAGAGCAACACCAGAGCAUCAAACAUGGAACGAGCUCGGGAGCGCUUUGCCAGCAGCUGAUUACAGUGGGAAGUGCAUCUCAAAGCAGCAGGGCAGCGGAGUAAAACAAAAGCCACGGAGCCUGUGCUGCCCUGUCUUUGGCACAUCCUUGUGCUUCCCUUAAUUCUGCCUCGGAGCUUGGAAGGCAAGGCCAAAGCUUCUUAUUUGCUAAUUAAGGUUCCACCCAAUUCAAACACCCAACAAAGGACAUCCCCAAACAGAGGGACCUGCCAGCCCUCCUGGCCCUGCCAACAGGCUGAUGUCUCAGUUCAGUGCUCUCCCAACACAGAGAGUGAAAGAGCCCUGGACAGUGGCAAAUCCAACUGUGUGCACACACACAUUGCUGUGCUGGCACACACCUCUGGUUGGGAUCCAAAGGCUCCAGCUCCCUGGUUUUGUUGUGCACACUCCAGACACCCCACAGACAGGGGUAAAACAGAAAGACAUUGAAACAACACAGCUCUAUUUUAUGGUGUCAAAUGGCUAAUGACAGUAAUUAAGGAUUUAAAAGGCCUUUAUCAAGGGGCAUUAUCUAAGAUACCAUCAUGCCUGUAAUCAGUCAGGGAAGAAUUGCUUGAUCAAGCCAAGAAGGCAACAAAAAUAGCCCAACCUCUUGCCAUCUGCUCCAGCCACCACAUCCCACCCCAGUGCCUGAAUGCAGCAGUGAGUCACAGCAGGACACAGAUGAGCAGGCUGUGUCCCUGUCAUUCCAGCUGAACGUGCAGGGGCUGUUGAAGUGUUCCAGUGGGCUCCCAAAACAAAACCAGUAGCUCCAACAGCAUUUUGCCUUCCCCCUUUUGUGGAUUCAUUGUGCCUGUGCUGCAAGGGAGAAGACAGGUCUUUGGUUGGCUGUGAAAGUUUUCGUCACCCCCAAGCAACAGGAAAGGAAUUUCCAGGUGGAAUUAGCAAAGCCUCCACCCCUACAGUCCAAGCAGCUGCUGAGUAUCACUGAUCAUUCCAUCAAAUGGAGCAUUCACCACCCUCCUGGGAAGAACAGGUUAUUGGAAAACAUUCCUCGUUCCAAUUCCUCUUUGGCAUCACAUUGCAAGACAUCUGGCACUGAUGGUUGGAGUUUGUGUUUAACUAAACCACAUGGACAGGCAGGUGGUUUAAGUGUAAUGCAAAAUACCUGCAUAUUUAUCUGCCUUUAUCAGCUCUCCUUCCUGUGAUCUGUCAGUAAAUAAAUACCACAUCAGCUGCCUGCACGUACCAUAAGCACCCAGAUCCAUCCCAUCCCACGUGGUCAUGGUGCUAAAUCUGCCCAGAGCAGCAAAUUACAAACAGCAGCACACCCAGAGCAUCUUCCCAACUGCUUCCUCUCUGACUCCCUGCCUGCUCUGCACUGCAAGACUUGGGUAAUGUUUGCACUUGCACAGCUCCUGGAAGAUGGAGACACUCAAACACAGAAAUUAAUAUUCACAGGAGAGCUGUCAGGGGAAAGGGAAGCGUUCUCCCCGAGGUGCACUGUUACAGUACAGUGUGUUUGACUGGCACCCUCCUUCCCUUCCCAGGGAGAAACAGGAGAUGCAGAAUCUGUUUGUACUCUUCCCCAUCCAACCAGAACACCCUUCCAAAGGAUUCCUGCCAUCAGCAGGCAAUAUAAUCCCACGGAUUUACGUGGCUGUGGUCGGUGUUACGCCACCUUCCAACACCUUCAGAGCAGGAAGCAGAGUUGUGUUCCAGAGGAGAGGGGGAAGCAGGACAGCCACAGCCUUGGGAGGGCUCAAAGACACAUCUCGUGUCUGAUCUCACAGCAGUGAACCAGGCUGAUGGACAACUUCUAAAUCCAGUGAGAGCCUCAGAGGAAGCCUGGCCAGAGAAGUCCAUCUGUGCCUCCCACUUGUAUAUUCCUGGCUUUGGCUGAGCUCUGAGCGCCGCGGACACUGAGAGGUGGAACAAAGCCUUGGAUUUUCAAGGGGAACUCAAGGCCUUCUCAAUCCUCUGAAAGGCAAAGUGUACACAUGAUAAGCCAAGAGAGCCAUUCCAUGCUGCAGUCACAUGCUGUGUGGAAGCUGUAAUCUCACAAGGACACAGAUAUGGCCAUGCAAAUAUGGGUUAUGCCUGUGCUAACAACCAGCUUCUGUCCCCAGAGCUCCUGAGUGGCCUCUAAUCUGGCUGCUAAUGCAGGUGAAAGCUCGUGCUGGAGAAGCUUCAUUUCUCUUGUGCUCCCAUUAGCCAGGAACCUGCUGCCCUUCCAUCCCCUGACUUGAGAGACUUGGUGCAAAUCCCAGACCCACUUGGGGAUGGAACCCACUUGUCAGCUUGGAGCUGGAACGGGGCAUCCUCUCCCCCUGCAAUCUGCUGGCUCCUGAAGGCUGCAGAAAUCAGCUCCACGGCUUGGCCUGGGGAAGAAAUCAGGCUCUGGGCUCUCGGAGACUCUGCGAGGGUUUGUUUAAAAACAAAACAGAAAAAAAAAAAAACCACAAAACAACCAGCCAAACAACUGGCGAAAGGAACGUUAUUUUCCCCUGGGACUACCCAAGGGAUGCUCAGCAAUCCGCUCCCCAUCCAGCUGUGCGGUGCCUCCCACCCAAUCCGCUCCCCAUCCAGCUGUGCGGUGCCUCCCACCACUCCGCUCCCCAUCCAGCUGUGCGGUGCCUCCACCGCUCCCUCGGAGCUCAGGGACCCGCCCCCGCCGUGCUCCCGGUGCCACACGGCGACAGUGACAUCCAGCGGCAGCGACACCGCCCACAGCAACCCGCGCCCGAGCCCCGGCCACCGAAAAUGCCUGGGAAAUGCCUGGGAAAUUCCAGCCCCCUCAGGGUGCCGGGAAGGGCUUUAGCUUGAAAACACAGGUUUAGGUGCUGGGUGCCAGCACGGAAGGACAGACAGACACCUCCCAGGGUGAGGAUUUCACCACUCACCUCUCAGCCCUUUGCUGCUUCCUCCCAACAGCCCCACGGUUGAGCAAGAGCUGUUGCCCAGGCAUGAGUCAACCUGGGGUGCUUUGCUCACAGAAAUAUCUCCAAAAGUGGGGUUUGUUCUUUUGUUCGGUUUUUUUUAAGCCAUUUUGCUGUCCUUCAGCAAAGCCCAGCUCGGGACUCACAGGACGGACACGGCAGCAGCUGUAAAUCAGCUGUUGCCUCCUCAGAGACCUGCAGGGACACAGAGAGAGUCACCUCCACCACCCCUGGGAAGGUGAGGGCCUGGCACAACCAGUGUCACAUUGUCACCGAGCAGGAGCAGCCUCUCCCUGCUCCCCUGGAGCAGAGGGAUGAGCAGGGAGGGCGGGAUCCGUGCUGGGGCUGCAGCAGUCGGGCAGGGAGAAGAGCAGGAGGGAGUGGGGACUGAGCCAUCCCAGCCAGUGGUAAUUAGGGUGUCUCCCCAGAGCAGUGUGGAUGUCAAAGCAUAGCUGUGGUUUGCCUUUGGGCCCACCCCAGCCAGGCCACACGUGUGUGUUCCACUGCAAAAAUGCAGCCAGACCUGUCGCAGGGGUGUUUGGCAGCCAGGCCUGGGAGCCUCAAAGGGGGAAUGCAGCAGGGAUGGUAACAGCCACUGCUGACAGAUCAGCUCUGCCACAAACAGGUGCCACAGCCUGCCCAGGGAAGGAGGGUUUGUCCCACACGAGCCUCUUUUCAAGCAGCUGAAGUACAAUCACACAUCCUGUGGGAGUUCUCAUGCACUUGGAGCCAUCUUGAUGUUCAUCCCCUUUGCUCCCCAGUCUCUCUCUCUCUGCCCCUAAAAAAGUCCAGUCUGGGCUGUGACAGCUCUGAGGGAGCACUUCAAACCCAAACUGGCAAACUGAGAGUCAAAGCCCCAGAGCUGCCAGACAGAGGCUGAGGAGGAGCCCCACAGUGCCCUGCUGGCUGGGGCUCCAGGGAUGAUCCUCCUCUGCUUGGCUGCUUCCCUGGAGGAACAGGGAAAACCCCCCCAGCCAAUUCCUGCACCAGGAAAUGCACCCAAGACACAGAGCACGGGAAACACGGGAAACCAGAGCACUUGGAAUGGCAGGAACAUCCCAGGGGCCUGGGGCUGCUCCUGCCUGUGAGCCUGGGUGGGCCACAGAGCAGCUGCUGUCCCCGGGGAUUCCUGAGGACACGGGGAUGGAACCAAAUGUGGAACCCACCCAGCCAAGCCCCAGAGCACAGACUGGGCUCACCAGUGUCACUCCUGCCUUCCACCUGGGGGGUUUUUGUUUCUGAGGUUCCCAGACAACAUCAGGAGACCAACAGAAAGACAGAACUUGGUUAAUACAGCAUCACCACCUGCACAAAAAGCAGGGAAUAAAGACUGUCUCCAUGGUUUCCCAAAACCACAAACCCCUGCAAUACUUGCAGCAUCAUAGCAACAAGCUUCAGCCCAGCAACAUGGAAAUUCUGUUCCUUGAAACCACGUGACCUUAAUUAUUAUUAUCCUGGAGAUUCCCAACAGUUGUGCCCCAGCACUGAGGCUGGAUUGGGGCUGUGGAAGUCCCAGACCUACCUCCAGUGCAUUGUUCCUUCUGUGUAAACCCCAGUGGAGGAGCAGUGUUUGGAGGAAGCAGCAGCUGAUCCUUCCCUUGCUGUGGCAAAAACCCUCUUCAGGGGAUUGGGCACUGCUGGGUUAGGGUUGGGCUUGAUGAUCCUAAGGGUCUUUUCCAGCCUGAAUGAUUCUGUGAUUCUGAAAGAUCCUGGCUGGGCUUUGGGGUUGGCCAGACCUGACUGAUGGCAGAAUCCAGGUUUUAAGGAAACAUCAACAGCUUGGUACAGAAGUCCUUUAGGCUCCUAAAAAAACCCCAAAAGAUCCUUCACUCCCUCAUGCUGAAGCUGGGAUGGGUGGGUGGGGCUCAGCUUCUGUCUUCAGGAGAACAGAAUAUUUCUUGUAGCUGAAGGUAAACCCAGUGUAGGAGCACAUGUGGCUGCAUCAGAAAAAUCCUGUCUGCCCUCAGUGUCACACUUGUUUAAGACAGAACUGAGCAAGAUUAAAGGCUGCUCAAGACUUGGAUUAUCCUACAAUUUUUCCAGUAGGACAUGAGGUGACUUAGAAGUGACAGGAAAGCUCUCCAGGAAAACUGAGCUCUGCCAGAAAUAACCUCAGUUUCCUGACCAGGUGAUGUGGGCAAAGAGGAAAGAUUCACCUUCGAAGGUUCCUGCUCCAAGCAUGAUCAGAAAACCUUUGGAAUAAACCAUGGAUGCACCAGUGCCCCUCACAGGGAUUGCAUUUUCCUGCUGUUGGAUUUUGGAAGCUGGUGGGCAGCAGCACUACCAGAGCAGACCUGACAACUGGGAUGUGCAUUUCCUGGGCCCUUUUCCAUGAAACAUCAGGGAAUUCAUGGAAUUGUUGCACAACCUUGGCUUUAGCUCUUAAGGAAACUAAGAUUUGAAUGCAUUUUAUAAAGUGUCAAUGAGUAACAAACCACAGGGAAAAACCACCCAAAAUUCCAUUUCCCUCUGCAAACCACAACCUGAAGGGAUGGAAACAAAGGCCACUGGUGACAGUUGAGGGCAGUGACACACAUUUUGUGCCAGGGGAAGCAGAAAUGUUGUUCAGGGAGAAACAAAGGAUGUCAGGAAUAAGCAGAACUUGCUCUGCCCAAAGCCCUGCAGGAGUGACACCGGCACUGUCACCCUGGGCCAGGCAGCCCCGGGGCAGGAAUUGGCCCUGCCAGGGAUGCACCAGAGCUGUGCCAGCCAGGAGGAGCUUCAGGAAGCCCAAGGGAGCAUUUCUCCUGAUGUCUGGAAAACCCCAAAGCAGGCAGAGCCCAGCCAGCCCCAGGCAGGUUCUGGGGACUGUGGUUCUGUUUGUCACAGGAGGAGGAGCUGAUCCUCACUCAGACCAACGGGGAGGGAAGUCAUCCCCGGGAGGAACUGGGUGUGUAACCCCCAAAAUCAGCACAACAGCCUCCCACCUCCCUUCCCCCUUCACCUGGGCACAGCAGUUGUGGGGUUGCUGCUGUUGAUUCUUCCCUGGUACCAGCUGAAGGAAACAGAACUUUUUACAGUCUCCUGUGUUGGUUUGUGCUCAGCAGCUCAUCUUCAGCACUUCCAAAGUGCCACCAUUUCCCUGGGGAAAAUAAAUGCCCAUCUCAGCCCUGUGGGAUGAGGGACUAUGGGUCACUGAAGCAACUCAAACCUGAGGAUUUGAAAAUAACCCCCCCUAGAAAAGCCCAUUUCCAACCCCCCCUGUGCUCAGGCAGCCACACGAGACACUUCCCUGCUCACUUGCACGAAAAGCUUCCAUAUUUCCACAGCUACUUCAGAGGGGGAAUAAAAGACCAACACGCAGGGAAGGAGCUGCAAAGGAUCCACAUCUUGCAGGUAACACAGGUUCCCACUUCACAGGUACCCCACAGGCUCAUCCCACAGCCCCCAUCCACAAGGAUUUGCCCACAGAGGCUGGAAUCAACACCUUCUCUCAUCCCACAGCCCCAUCCACAAGGAUUUGCCCACAAAGGCUGGAAUCAACACCUUCUCUUUGCCGAGGCAGGAACGUGCUGGGAGCAAAGUUUGAACCAAGUCAGUGCAGAUACCUCAGGCUGCAGGAACACUCUAUUUAUUAGGUCAAUAUUUCAGUUGAGCAAUACAGUUACAGAAUAUCACAAUGCUGGUUACAAACAGGGGAUGGUUCAUGGGCACAGACAACGCCCGGCUCUGCAGUCGGGGGCAGGGGGACACCAAAGUCCGCCCUGACACCACAGGGAGGGUGGUCUGCAAGGUCUGGUCAUGAGCAAGAGACUUUUAUAUAAAUGAAAGUGGCACUACAGGCAGAGAUUCUGGUUUAGAGGUGGGUUAGUGUGAGUAUUUCCAUUUAUACAGUUAUACAGUUCAAGCAACACCUUUUUUUUCUUUCUUUUUUUUUUUUUAAAUGCUAUUAAAUUAAAAUCCCCUGUAGUUCAAUAAAGUAUAAAAAUAGUACUGAACCUGGUAAUAUUCAAUAAAAUGUAGAGUUCAUUCACAUCAUUAAGUAGUAAAGAAAUUGUAAAGUUGUAGUUACCAUGGCAACAUUGCUUCCCAGAGAGGGAUACACAGAGAAGUUACACGUAUGGUACCUGCGACGAUUACUGAGCGAUCCAACACUGAACUUGUGCACCACAGACCCAGUUUCUAAAUAGCUCUAUAUAUUUAUAUAGUAUAUAUCUUCUUCAUCUUAAAAUUUACUUCUGAAAAGAAAAAAAGAAAAAAAAAAAAAAGAAAA